rnacentral:lncRNA from 1 species
CAGCCUUUGACUAAAGAGGAGACCCAUGUAAUGUUUGAGGAGACUGUGAAAUACAUUAGGGAGAAUCUCUAGCUGCCAGCUGAGAGGCUCAAUGGCACCUACUGUUCUCGGCUGCACAAAGGCCAGGUGUACUACGUGAGUGAGAAGAUUCUGAAGCUGGCACUGAUAUCUGAUUUCCCUGUGACCUGCUUCAGAAAAUUCACCAAAACCUACAAGUUUCAGUUGAACAUCACAGCUCUGGAUUACCCUGCACCCUAUGCCAAGUAUAAAGUGUGGAUAAAACCUGGAGCACAGCAGUCCUUUCUAUAUGGAGACGAUAUGUUGAAAUCUGGUCUGAGUCAAAUCAUGAAAAAUACUUCUCCUGGCCAGGAAGUGGUGGUGGCAGACAUCCCUUUGGGUUUUGGGGUGGCAGCCACAUCUACGCAAGACUGCAGAAAAGGAGACCCCACCGAUUUGUGGUAUUUCAUCAAGCAAACACUGGUGAAUAUGUGUGGCAUGAAGAGACGGUGACUUAA